rnacentral:sRNA from 1 species
UAUACUAGAAGUAGAAGUAUGGAUGCAGCAGACAUGAGAUAAUCAUGACAUCCCGUUACCCUUUAGGGUCGAGGCAAGUCCGGUAAAGACGUUCUGAAUACCAAAAAUAUAAACAAGUUUUUGGCGAAGGCUCCUGAAGGAGCCUUUG